GGUUGUUGCUUUAACACUGGCAGUAGUAGCACGUGGCACGUAGCUGAUUUUGAGACCUCCAUUUUGUCUGCAUACCUGCCCUUGACCCACUCCCUGUCUCUGAAGUGGAACGUAUAUGGGCUGAACUUCCAGAAGAGACGGAGGGACUAAUCUGAUCUCUGUGGAAGAAGGCCAGGAAUUAAUAGGAAGUCAUCGUCCUUUUGAUUCUCUCUUUCAUAACUCUCUGAAGCAUGAAUCAGUCAAUCAUCAGCUUGUAUUGAGUUACCACUCUGUGCUGAGUACUGACCUGGGCAUUGAAGAGGAUGGCUACAAAUUGGAUCAUCCCUCUUAAUCGGUAUGAAUUAAAAUAGUCCAUUUUGUUGCA